GUCCCUGUAGCUCAAUGGAUAGUGCAUUGGACUUGUAAUCCAAAGGUGGUAAGUUCGAAUCCCACCUGGGACA
rnacentral:tRNA from 1 species